GUAAACGAUGGACACUAAUGUUCCUGCGUUUAUGCGGGAGUGUCGUACUAACGCGUUAAGUGUCCCGCCUGGGGAGACGGUCGCAAGAUUGAAACUCAAAGGAAUUGACGGUGGCCCGCACAAGCGGUGGAGCAUUGGUUUAAUUCGACGCAACGCGAAGAACCUUACCUGGGCUUGAACUGCUGGUGGUAAAACCCGAAAGGGGAUGAUCCUGGUUUCCAGGAAGCCAGUAGAGGUGCUGCAUGGCUGUCGUAGCUCGUGUCGUGAGAUGUUGGGUUAAGUCCCGCAACGAGCGCAACCCCUGCAUUUAGUGCCAGCGAGUCAUGUCGGGCACUCUAAGUGGACCGCCUCGGAUAACGGGGAGGAAGGUGGGAUGACGUCAAGUCAGCAUGGCCCUUAUGUCCAGGGCUACACACGUGCUACAAUGGACGUACAGAGGGCUGCAAGACCGCAAGGUGGAGCCAAUCCCUAAAACCGUUCUCAGUUCGGUCGCAGGCUGCAAUUCGCCUGCGUGAAGCCGGAAUCGCUAGUAAUCGCGGAUCAGCUACCCGCGGUGAAUACGUUCUCGGGCCUUGUACACACCGCCCGUCACAUCACGAAAGUUGGUGUACCCGAAGUCAUUGAGCUAACCCGCAAGGAGGCAGGUGCCUAAGGUAUGGUCGAUGAUGGGGUG
rnacentral:rRNA from 1 species